UACGUAGGGUGCAGGCGUUAAUCGGAAUUACUGGGCGUAAAGCGUGCGCAGGCGGCGCGUUAAGACAGGUGUGAAAGCCCCGAGCUUAACUUGGGAAUUUGCGCUUGUGACUGGCGAGCUGGAGUGUGGCAGAGGGGGGGUAGAAUUCCACGUGUAGCAGUGAAAAUGCGUAGAUAUCUGGAGGAAUACCGGUGGCGAAGGCGGGUCUCUGGGGCCGAUACUGACGCUGAGGAGCGAAAAGCGUGGGGAGCAAACAGG
rnacentral:rRNA from 1 species